rnacentral:rRNA from 1 species
UACGAAGGGAGCUAGCGUUGUUCGGAAUUACUGGGCGUAAAGCGCACGUAGGCGGCUUUUUAAGUCAGGGGUGAAAUCCCGGGGCUCAACCCCGGAACUGCCCUUGAAACUGGAGAGCUAGAAUCUUGGAGAGGCGAGUGGAAUUCCGAGUGUAGAGGUGAAAUUCGUAGAUAUUCGGAAGAACACCAGUGGCGAAGGCGACUCGCUGGACAAGUAUUGACGCUGAGGUGCGAAAGCGUGGGGAGCAAACAGG